ensembl:rRNA 5S_rRNA 5S ribosomal RNA
GUUUACGUCUAUACCACCCUGUCGGCGCCCGAUCUCAUCUGAUCUCAGAAGCUAAGCAGGGUCGGGCCUGGUUAGUACUUGGAUGGGAGACCGCCUGGGAAUACCAGGUGCUGUAAGCU